rnacentral:rRNA from 1 species
AGUGAACGCUGGCGGUAGGCCUAGCACAUGCAAGUCGAACGGCAGCACAGUAAGAGCUUGCUCUUACGGGUGGCGAGUGGCGGACGGGUGAGGAAUACAUCGGAAUCUACUUUUUCGUGGGGGAUAACGUAGGGAAACUUACGCUAAUACCGCAUACGACCUACGGGUGAAAGCAGGGGAUCUUCGGACCUUGCGCGAUUGAAUGAGCCGAUGUCGGAUUAGCUAGUUGGCGGGGUAAAGGCCCACCAAGGCGACGAUCCGUAGCUGGUCUGAGGGGAUGAUCAGCCACACUGGAACUGAGACACGGUCCAGACUCCUACGGGAGGCAGCAGUGGGGAAUAUUGGACAAUGGGCGCAAGCCUGAUCCAGCCAUACCGCGUGGGUGAAGAAGGCCUUCGGGUUGUAAAGCCCUUUUGUUGGGAAAGAAAAGCAGCAGGUUAAUACCCCGCUGUUCUGACGGUACCCAAAGAAUAAGCACCGGCUAACUUCGUG